CUCAUAUGUUAUAUCUCAAGAACAAAACUAAAAAGCUACCCAUGUCAAAAUGAACACCAAAGUACAUCUAUAUCCAACAAACGAGAAAAUAAUUCGAAGGAUUAAACCUUGCAAGCCAGUGAAUUAUAUCACACUGCACCACCACAAGGCAAAGAUUCUGAUAAUCUUACAAUCGUUGAAAGAGAAGCAUUGUUAUAAGGCACUUUAGUAAUCCAUGACCACUACAGCAAAGCUUUCCUCACCAGAGCAAGAGAGUGACAACAACCAUGAGGGCUCUCCCCUCAACAUAGCCAAAAAGAGCAACCACAAUUAGGAGGUGGAGAUGGUUAGAAGAUUGAAGUAACUAGAGGGGAAGAAAGAUUGUCACCGAUGGCGUCAAGGCCAAAGGCAAGAGUCUGUUUUGAUUUUAUCCUUUUUUCUCUCUAUCAGUUAAUAUUUUUUCUCUCUAUAUUGUAUAUAAUUUUAAGCA